GGACCUUGCUCUUUGUUGUGAACUAGGGGAAUUCCUUCAGGAGAAAAGCCAAAUAAAUGUGGAUAUCACCCAGUGUGAUUUUCUUCAUUCAAGAGCUAUAUCUCCUGCAGUUUCUGCCUGCUCUUAGCUGUUCUGCAUUGCCUUCAAAGAAUUGUUUUUUCAAAUUUUGUCUAAGGGGGCAGCAUCUUCUACUAUGUGCAUCUACAUUGGAUGGCAGUGGAGCAACACAGAUUGUUUUCUGACAAAAAUCAGCCAAGUACUAGGAGAGGCAGGACUUUAGAAGUGGAGGAGAUGGAGAAGGAAGCUUAGGUUACUAUGGAGUGUGCAAAAAGGUCCUGUGGAUUUAGAUACCACCACACACAAAUGCUGUUGUUGGAAGGUACCUGCCCAGAUAAGGACUGCAUUUCCUCUAGCAUCCAGAUGGGACCAAAUGACUGCUGGCCAAUAGAAGUGAGUGGAAAGGACUGACUCCAGUUCCAGGUUGGGCCUCCAACUGCUCUGGGCACGUCGAUGGAACAGAACACCACCUCCACCCCAAUACCACCAAUUCAACUUUACAUGAAUUAUAAGCGAGAAAUAACUUGGACUGUGUUAAGUCAUUGAGUUUCUGGGGUUUAACUGUUAUUAUAGUUAAGAAUGACUUUAACUAAUAUAGUCAAUGACAUCUAACUGGAGUUAUGAAAUUCAAUUUCUACUUAGAGUAAUUGAAGCAAAGGUUGUGGGGGAGGGGAGGAGGGCAGCACACCAUGAAAUCAGAGAUCCCCAGUACGUGUUAGUUCAUCAGUCAAUCAGUCUUAAGGUCAGGGUGUAGUGUGGGCAGCAGUUGCCUCCCUCUCCCCACAGAACACCCUGAGAAUAGGAAGUUAGAGUAGUCGCAUCUUAUUACUUACAAAACAUUACCUCAAAAUGCAAACUACCCCCUGGACCCAAACUCUCUACAAUCACCAGGUUCCAUAAACUAUAAUCUACUCUGUUUUCUGGAAGAAAAUAUUAACCUGUUAAAAUUCCCUGC
rnacentral:lncRNA from 1 species